GAGAAAGUGGCAGAAUGGUAGUGCGGUCGACUUGAAUUCGAUGUACGGGGGUUCGAUUCCUUCCUUCCUCG
rnacentral:tRNA from 1 species